rnacentral:rRNA from 1 species
CGCUGGCGGCGUGCUUAACACAUGCAAGUCGAACGAGACGAUUGAAAGCUUGCUUUGAAAGUCGAGUGGCAAACGGGUGAGUAACGCGUAGACAACCUGCCGCAAAGAUGGGGACAACAGUCCGAAAGGACUGCUAAUACCGAAUGUUGUAUCGUUUCCGCAUGGAGAUGAUAUUAAAGAUGGCCUCUACUUGUAAGCUAUCGCUUUGCGAUGGGUCUGCGUCUGAUUAGCUAGUUGGUGGGGUAACGGCCUACCAAGGCGACGAUCAGUAGCCGGUCUGAGAGGAUGAACGGCCACAUUGGAACUGAGACACGGUCCAGACUCCUACGGGAGGCAGCAGUGGGGAAUCUUCCGCAAUGGGCGAAAGCCUGACGGAGCAACGCCGCGUGAGUGAAAGAAGGGUUUCGGCUCGUAAAGCUCUGUUGACGGGGACGAAUGUGCGAAAUGCGAACAGUUUUUCGCAAUGACGGUACCCGUCGAGGAAGCCACGGCUAACUACGUGCCAGCAGCGGC